rnacentral:tRNA from 1 species
GGCCGAAUUAUCGGGCGGGUCGCUGAUUCUUAAUCAGCGGGUCGGGGGUUCAAGUCCCUCGCGGU